UACGGGGGGGACUAGCGUUGUUCGGAAUUACUGGGCGUAAAGCGCACGUAGGCGGAUUUGUAAGUCAGGGGUGAAAUCCCGGGGCUCAACCUCGGAACUGCCUUUGAUACUGCAAAUCUCGAGUCCGGAAGAGGUGAGUGGAAUUCCUAGUGUAGAGGUGAAAUUCGUAGAUAUUAGGAAGAACACCAGUGGCGAAGGCGGCUCACUGGUCCGGUACUGACGCUGAGGUGCGAAAGCGUGGGGAGCAAACAGG
rnacentral:rRNA from 1 species